AAUGAAUAUAGAAAUGUUUCAGAAUUAAACAGUAACACAAUCAUGAAUUCUGCAAGUCUCCUAAUACAUUUAAGAGGUUACAGGACUUGAAAAGAUUAAGAAAAUACACCACAUUAUCUGAUUUAACCAAUGAAAUAACUAAUUUCAUGUUCAAAGAAAUAAUAAUACAAGAAACAAAGAAUAAAUACUAUAGAUAAAUGCAAUACCAUAUUGAACAAAUCUAGCAAACCAAACGAACCCAACUGAGAUUCCAUGCGAUUAGCCUUUCCUGAAUAGUCAGCUCCCAGGGUGGUGAGAAAUAGAAUGCAUCAAGAAGAGAAGCUAUCAGGGACUUGUAUCAAUCAGUUGCUGUCAUCCAGCAAUUAACUAAUCAUCCAUCUACAUAAUGUAAGGUUAUAUUCCUGUCUUGGCCCUUUUCAUUCCUGCAGUGUUAAAGGGUGACAUGCUAGGACUCAUGCUUGGACUCAUACUUGGGCUUUCCUCCCUUAGGGUACCAUUAAGCAUAGCCAAUUCCCUUAGUUGCUGCUUCUUAUAGUGAUCUGAGGAUUCAUCCACAGGCUUCAAGAGAGUUUCUAGUAUUGUUAUAGCGUGAUCCAAGCGUGCAUUUAUUAUAUCCUCUGGAAAUUCAGCCUCCACCAACACGUGCAGUGGCUCAUUCAGGUGUUCAUAUCCAGGUUUAUCUUUUAGUUUCUCCUCCUGAAGAAAAAAAAUGGCUAAUUAUGAGACUUUGAGAACUUAUCGGGUACAAAAGAAGCCAAAUGAACCUAGCAGAAAUUAAGAUUUCAGAUAGAGCCAUCCCAAUCAUAGCAAGAUCUUCUUUAAAUAAAUAAAUAGAUUUUAAUAAGCAGGGAAGAGGCCAAAUAAUUCCACCAUAUUUAUUGAAACAUUCAACUGAUCCCCUAUAAUUUUAUUUAACAGACAAAUAAGUUCAAUUGCUAAGUUGUGCAGUAAACAUCAUCACUGAAGCCUAUCAUUUGAUGUGGAAGGCAUCCCUAAACUAGGACCACCACCAUCUCUCUCUCUCUCCCCCCUCACACAUCAAACAGUGUCAGACUUGAACUCCAGCAAGAAGAAAAAAAAAAAAAAUCAACCGCAUAGAAAAGAAAUCACAGGAAAAUAAAAAAUAAGAGGUAAAUAACCUGAUGAGAAACCCUGAAGUCAAGUCACAUCCAUAAACUUCAGGAGUGAAUCAGUAAGAUUUUAACAGAGUUUAUUUAUUCUUUUUUUUAUUCCCGUCAGAAAAUAACAAUCAGUAUCACUCUCUUCCUAUUCAAAGUUAGUAUACAAUAAAUCAAAGAUUAAAAAAAACUCUUUUUUUCCCUAUUUGUCCUUAAAUGGCACUGUUCACAGUUCAUGGUAAACACCCAAUCAAUCACCAACCAACUGAAAAGCUACUGAGAUCUGCACAAAGGAGCCAUCAUUACAACACCACACCCAAGGAAACCCAAACCAAUGAGAAUGCUAAGAACAGAUGAAACCAAUGAGGAGAGAAUAUGAAAUGAAUAAAAUGACCAAUUAAACAUCUAAUCCAGAGGAAAAUAAAACCUCUGCUAAAAGGAGUUAACCCAACCCAACUCAGUCUCCUCACUAUCCAUAUACUUGGUUAUUUUCAUAUAGGAAGACGAAAAAGGACAAGCAUUCUCAUGUACUACAAUGGUAUGAACAAUAAGAAAAAACACGCAUUCUCAAGUUCUACAAUGGUAUGAACAAUAAGAAAAAACACGCAUUCUCAAGUUCUACAAUGGUACGAACAAUAAGAAAAAACAUGUACAGGCUACAUAGGCCAAAUUUUGUCUCACUUACCUUGUUUCAUGUGUCACUAACAUAAUCUUUUUAACCAUCCAUGAGCAAUAACAUUAUCCAAUUACAAGUCCAUCCAAGGAAAUUCUAUAAUGACAUAACUUCAAUAGAUAAAAUUGCUGAUGUUAAUAUAGUGACUCAAACUUCCAUAAUUAUACAGAUGAGACUUGAAGUUUGAAUAUAAAUAUGCAAAAGGAGAUGCAAAUCACCAUUGAGGAAAGCUGGGGAAGAGCUAUUUGUGGCAAAACCUACAGUUUAACAUGUCUUCCUUUAGAAAACUGGAGUAAAAGGAAAUGGAAAAAGAAUAAUACAAGUAAUUAUUCAAUUAUCAAUGAAAAAAGUACAGCUAUCCAUUUGACUGGAUGCAACUUAACCAAACAGAAAAUUUUCAUGGGCAAGCAGUUUAGAGUGACAAAACUCAUCAUACUAUGUUCAACCUGAUCCAUUAGCAACUCAAAGAAGACUCCUUUAACAAAUUAUGAAUAUAUCAUAACCAAUGAUACCUUUAAAGAAUCCUUUACAGACCCCUUGCCUCGUAUGUAAACCCUGCAUUCUGUCAUGGCUUCAACCCUUUUCAAGGAAUUUCCCCGUGGUCCCAAUAUACGGCCAACAAAAUUAUAAUUUGGAUAUUUGUCAACAGGGACAUCAAGUCUGACCACUCUCUUUAUGACAGGUGUGGUUGGGACUCCAGGGACCCCAGGCCAGCCCAUUGAAGCAGCAUGAAAUGAGGCCAUUCUUUGAAGAUGCCCAUUUUCCUACGAAAAGAAAUGCAACAUCAAUUGAAAUUCCAAAUAUAUUGUUCAAGAUUACAGACAAACUUUCUCAGUUCUAAAGAGAGAUAACGAACAGCAAUAUAGUUGUCCUUUUAGUUUUGAGUGGUGGGAAAGAGGAGAAUCGUACGUUAAGUGCAGCAAGAAAAGAUCAUGCAUGAGAUAUGCAAAAGGAAAGGCAGAACAGAAUUCUAUAAAUGCACAACUAAUUAGCUCAAGAAGCCAAUAAGCUGAUUCCCACCACCAUCUACUGCCAAACAAGCCAAAUCUUGUCUUACUUUCCUUUCCAAACAGACCACAACGCUGUAAAUGAAUUGAUCUUCCAUAGGAGACAUCCUUGGACAAUCACACAAUGGGUCUAACCACCCGCAAACUGCCUAAUGCAUGGCGAUAAUCAAGCAAAUCCAACUUCAACUUCUCAGCGGGAUAUCAACAGACAGUGAAAAUAAGGGCUAAUUAUACACUUACAGGUUUCAAAUAAACAGUUGUUAUUUAAAUUAGCACUUUCCAGAAUCAGAAUAUCGGUGUUUAACAUUUGUCCAGCAUCAAACAAUAUAUAUACACUGGAAAGAAUAACACCAGUAGCCCAUCAACAUCACUGAAAAAGACCUCAUAAAUGGUGAAAAUUUCCAUAUUCAUCUAUUCUGUCAUCACCUGGGGACCCCAGCUUAGCCACAAAGAACAUGCCAACAUACAUCCACCCCCAAGAGGGUCCCAUCCCAAAGAUUUCAGUCAAUCAAUAUGCAUAAUUUAACCAAAUGAAAUAGUAGAAGCUGAUUAGGGAUGCAGUCAGUCAAGCGAUGCUCUUUCUAUCUUACCUCCACUCAUUCAUAAUGGAUUAUCCGAUUUGUCUGUCACCCAACCUUGUGAGGCCUAACAACUAUCCUCUUAUUAUCGACAAAUUACUCAAAUAUUUAACUGCAAAUUUUUAACUCAGUCUUCUACUUAUCCACAUUGGCGCCAUUCAACUUUGCAAGUUUGAGUGACCAUCUCAUUAAUAUCAAUGGAUAACUGGUACCUAUCAAAUUUUACCCUUUUUUUCAGUUGGUAUUUUUUUGUAAGGGGGAUAGCCUCAAAGCCAUAAAUUAUUCUUCGUCCAAAGUCCAAAUACUCCACAGAUUCAAAAUAGAAAAUGUUCCUCCAGUUAUCAAUUAGAUAAAAUUCAAUAUUUACGA
rnacentral:misc_RNA from 1 species